AUUGAACGCUGGCGGCAGGCCUAACACAUGCAAGUCGAGCGAGCGGCGGACGGGUGAGUAAUGUCUGGGAAACUGCCUGAUGGAGGGGGAUAACUACUGGAAACGGUAGCUAAUACCGCAUACCAUCAGAUGUGCCCCGAUGGGUUUAGCUAGUAGGUGGGGUAACGGCUCACCUAGGCGCCGAUCCCUAGCUGGUCUGAGAGGAUGACCAGCAACACUGGAACGGAGACACGGUCCAGACUCCUACGGGAGGCAGCAGGGGGGAAUAUUGCCCAAUGGGCGCAAGCCUGAUGCAGCAAUGCCGCGUGUGUGAAGAAGGCCUUCGGGUUGUAAAGCACUUUCAGCGGGGAGGCGUUACCCGCAGAAGAAGCACCGGCUAACUCCGUGCCAGCAGCCGCGGUAAUUC
rnacentral:rRNA from 1 species